rnacentral:lncRNA from 1 species
UCAGCAGUUUUGUUUUAUUUUGUUUUUUUUUUUUUUCUUUCUGCCUUUCUUCUGGGAAAGACCAACUCGCCCAGUGGCCACCAUUACUGAGGAUCACCCAGACCUCGGUCUUGCUCUGGCUUCUGAGCCUUAUUUGUUCCUCCUAAGCAUUUGUGAUGGAGCACGUUCUAAAGUGAGAAAAGAUUGUCAUUCAAGGUAACACAGCUAUACACAGCUGAAUGGUUCCCGCAUCACUCCUUGCAGACUUACUCAUUUAUGUAGCUGAGUGUGACCUCCUUCCUGCCUGGGCCUUCACCUCCCAAAUAUGUAUCCCCAUAUGGUGUUGGAGACUGGAACCUUGGGGAUUUGUUUGGGUCAGAAAAGCAAUGUACAAACUACAUCUUCAACCCACAUCCUCUCUUUUUAUACAACUUUUUUUGUGUGUUUGAAUAUUUUGCCUGCAUGUAUAUAAGUGCAUGUGUACGUGCUUGGUGCCCACAGAGGACAUCUUAAACUGAAGUUAUGGACGGUUAUGAGCUGUCAUGUGGCUUCUGGGAACUGAACCCAGGUCCUCUGCAAGAGCAGCAAGUGCUCUUAACCUAUGAAUCAUUUCUCUAGCCCCUGCACCACAAAACCAAAAUUUCAAGAGACAGAGGCUCUCAACUGGGCAGGGUUUUUCCACCAGGGGUACACAGAGCUGUGCCUAACCUGACACUCCCAAAUGCUCUUUCACCUUGGACUCUGAGCUGAAGAUUACCUCUGGAGGCAUGUGCUAGGAUUUGAGAGUGAGUCCUGGGAGACUGCUGUUCCAGCCACAGCAUCUGGGCCAAGUCCCUGCAGAUGUUUCCAUCGUACCUCAGGCAGUAGUGAACUAUUUUAAUGACCCGUAAGAGUUACCUAGGAAAUGUGACUCACUCCUGGGUACAGGGACCUCUCUGCCCCUUCAGUUCUCUUGAGGAAGAGCCAAGGCCAGCAAAGGAGAGAUUCCUAGGGUUCCUAAUAAAAAUUAGAAUAGCCUGAGCUUGCCUAGCAUCACAAAGCACAACUAUAUGAAAGGGGCUUAGCUUAGUUGGCAGGAUGCAUGCUGAGCCUGCAUGAAGCUCGGAUUCAACCUCCUGCAUCACAUGAAACUGAGUAUUGUAUAUUAUGCCUGGAAUCCCAGCACUUAGAAGAGGAUCAGAAACCCAAGGUCAUCAUGAUUUGGAGGACAGCUUAGGCUACAUAAGACUGUUCAAACAUUUUUUUAAUUUUAGAGAGGCCAAAACAGCAAAAUAUUGGUGAACUUUCUGAUUCUCUUUGGCAAAAACUAGACUCAGGUUCAGUAGAGGGGACUGGCCUAGUCUUGUGGAAACCAGUUUAGCUUCUUCUCCCACUCCUAUCUUAUGAAUCUCAGGGAAGUCAUAAUGUUUUCCAGGCUGUUAUGUACCCCUCCCCACUAUGGAACGUCCUUCAGGGGUUGAUAUACAGAUGUGAGGCCUGCUGCCUGAAUUGGCUAGGCUCAACCCUUUCUGAUCCUGAGACCCUAGGGAGAAGAGACAAGUCCUGUAGGGAUCCUAUUGCCAGUGCUAGCUCAAGCCUGUUCUCGAGUCUCUCGCCUAAGAUGUGAGAAGCCCCUCCAGUGCCCUGUAGACAGUCUCUAGAAGAAUCCUGAUAACCAGGUGUAGGCCCACUUGUGAGAUUCAGAUAUACCGUGGGUAAGUGCCAUGUCUGCUGCAAGUAUAUCCACUAGUAACUAUCUUUAGUUCACUUGUACAUCAUCUUACUAAAUCUUCCUGGAUCUGAGGCAGUUUAUAUUAUCUUCUCACUUCCAAGUUAAAGAUGAAGUUGAGGGCUGAGACUUAGAUUAUGGCAGGCAAAUCCAUGCACGGCAGAGGUUGUUCAUGGGUCUCCACCCAGUUCUUUCCCUGCCCCUUACUGGUGUGUCUGGCAUAUAAACCUGUGAACCCUAACUCACAGGUUUUCUCUAUUAUGCUUCAGGAUAACAUUCCAGAAACAUGUUCCUUGAACAGCAUUCUCAGGAAAAGACAUGAAGGAGUCCUAUGUGUUUUCUUGGCCACUGAUCCAAAGGAAAAUAGUCCAGGAACAAGACACUCUUUGGUGUUCUCGUAGUUCUUGGCAGCUCAUGCUUUUAUAAAGCAAACCCAGCAAAAUCCCAGGAGGAAACAAAACUUGCUAUGUCAAGUUGCAGGAUUUCAGGAAGAAAAAUGUUUAUUCUCCCCUUGACCUAAAAUUUCUGUAAUUUGGUUUUAUUUCUGACACUGUGUGUGUGGUAUGUGUGUGUAUCCAACUUAAACUAAAUAAAUGCAGAGGCUCAUUGCAGCCAGAUACUGUCCUAAGGCUACUCAGAGAUGGGCAGUAAUUAGAACCAAAUCCUGAAGCUGUGGCUGGAAUCCUUGCACAGUAUGACUGGUGUGGUCCAGGAGUGGCAUCCUAAUACAGACCAUAAUGGCUGCCUUGUCUCUGGGGAUGAGUCCAGGGAUCUGAAUUUUCAUUUUCUUGUUUUUUUAAUUUUUCUUUUUCUUUUCUUUCUUUCUCCUGUAUCUAACUGAUCUAGGGAGAGAAUUGGAUAAGCCCAUCAAAGUCACUUCACUGCAUCGUUUCUAAAAAUGGGGUAGUGGCAGCUGGGAGGAAAAGAUGUUCUAUUAAGUAGUGGCAGGGCUAAAGCCAGGUACUAUCCUGCAUUGACUUUGACUUAGGGCCUGGGCUUAGAGAGGUAGGGGUCAGGGAAUUAACAAUGAGUCUGUGGCUUGACAGUCUGGUCAGCUCCUGUGACAAAGGAAAUCACCAUGGAUGGCACUGAGGUAGGACAACUGGCUAAACUCUGGCCUAAAUUAAAAAGACUAGUGUCAGACUUGAGAGUGAGCUUUCACUGCACAAAAUGUAUCCUUAUAGUCUUCUAGAUCUAUGGCACUUCCAACUCCAUUCUUUCUGUGGGUUACUAAGAGGCUAGGGGAUGGAAGGAGACCCUUCUUCCUGAAGACCUUGAAGGCUGAGAGAUGAUAGUGUUGAUGGUGUUUGUAUGCCACCCUCUGCUACAUACUUUGUCUCCUUCCUGAAUGAAGGCUUCUCCUCAGGCUGCAGGACACAGGAUCAGUCCUUGUAGCUGCCCCACGUGGCUCAGGCAGGAUUUACUAACCCAAACCUGACUUCUAUGUCCAUGUUGCUCCAUGUACUUUUGAUGGAAAUGUAAAAAACUCAUGCAGUUCUUUUGGAGCCAAUUUGGCAAACAUUUAACCCUUUCUGUCAAAUUCUACAUUUACACUGUUAACAAAUUUAUAAAGAAGUAUAU